AGAGUUUGAUCCUGGCUCAGGACGAACGCUGGCGGCGUGCCUAACACAUGCAAGUCGAGCGAGAGACUUCGGUCUCUAGCGGCGGACGGGUGAGUAACACGUGGGUAACCUGCCUCAUAGUGGGGGAUAGCCUUCCGAAAGGAAGAUUAAUACCGCAUAUACUCUCGAUACCGCAUGGUAUUUAGAGGAAAGGAGCAAUCCGCUAUGAGAUGGACCCGCGGCGCAUUAGCUAGUUGGUGAGGUAACGGCUCACCAAGGCGACGAUGCGUAGCCGACCUGAGAGGGUGAUCGGCCACAUUGGAACUGAGACACGGUCCAGACUCCUACGGGAGGCAGCAGUGGGGAAUAUUGCACAAUGGGCGAAAGCCUGAUGCAGCAACGCCGCGUGAGUGAUGACGGCCUUCGGGUUGUAAAGCUCUGUCUUUUGGGACGAUAAUGACGGUACCAAAGGAGGAAGCCACGGCUAACUACGUGCCAGCAGCCGCGGUAAUACGUAGGUGGCAAGCGUUGUCCGGAUUUACUGGGCGUAAAGGAUGCGUAGGUGGAUAUUUAAGUGGGAUGUGAAAUACCCGAGCUCAACUUGGGUGCUGCAUUCCAAACUGGAUAUCUAGAGUGCAGGAGAGGUAAGUGGAAUUCCUAGUGUAGCGGUGAAAUGCGUAGAGAUUAGGAAGAACACCAGUGGCGAAGGCGACUUACUGGACUGUAACUGACACUGAGGCAUGAAAGCGUGGGGAGCAAACAGGAUUAGAUACCCUGGUAGUCCACGCCGUAAACGAUGGGUACUAGGUGUAGGAGGGUCCAACCUUCUGUGCCGCCGUUAACACAAUAAGUACCCCGCCUGGGGAGUACGGUCGCAAGAUUAAAACUCAAAGGAAUUGACGG
rnacentral:rRNA from 1 species